rnacentral:rRNA from 1 species
AUUGAACGCUGGCGGCAGGCCUAACACAUGCAAGUCGAGCGGAUGAAGGGAGCUUGCUCCUGGAUUCAGCGGCGGACGGGUGAGUAAUGCCUAGGAAUCUGCCUGGUAGUGGGGGAUAACGUCCGGAAACGGGCGCUAAUACCGCAUACGUCCUGAGGGAGAAAGUGGGGGAUCUUCGGACCCCACGCUAUCAGAUGAGCCUAGGUCGGAUUAGCUAGUUGGUUGGGUAAAGGCCUACCAAGGCGACGAUCCGUAACUGGUCUGAGAGGAUGAUCAGUCACACUGGAACUGAGACACGGUCCAGACUCCUACGGGAGGCAGCAGUGGGGAAUAUUGGACAAUGGGCGAAAGCCUGAUCCAGCCAUGCCGCGUGUGUGAAGAAGGUCUUCGGAUUGUAAAGCACUUUAAGUUGGGAGGAAGGGCAGUAAGUUAAUACCUUGCUGUUUUGACGUUACCAACAGAAUAAGCACCGGCUAACUUCGUG